AUUGAACGCUGGCGGCAUGCCUUACACAUGCAAGUCGAACGGCAGCACGGGAGCUUGCUCCUGGUGGCGAGUGGCGAACGGGUGAGUAAUAUAUCGGAACGUACCCUAGAGUGGGGGAUAACGCAGCGAAAGUUGCGCUAAUACCGCAUACGAUCUACGGAUGAAAGUGGGGGAUCGCAAGACCUCAUGCUCAUGGAGCGGCCGAUAUCUGAUUAGCUAGUUGGUGGGGUAAAGGCCUACCAAGGCUUCGAUCAGUAGCUGGUCUGAGAGGACGACCAGCCACACUGGAACUGAGACACGGUCCAGACUCCUACGGGAGGCAGCAGUGGGGGAAUUUUUGGACAAUGGGCGAAAGCCUGAUCCAGCAAUGCCGCGUGAGUGAAGAAGGCCU
rnacentral:rRNA from 1 species